AAUUAACUCUGAAAUAAGUCUGCUAUUACAUGAUAAAAUUAAUGACGAUCGCCUGAUUCGUCAAACCCGUUUUAAGUUUGUCAGUUGUUCUCCUACCUAUUUUUAUUGUUUUGUUGGUUUUGUCCAAAGUUUGAAGUCAAGUGCCGGUAUCAAAGUCCAAAUAUUCAGAUGACUCUCAAAAUCUCAAGUCCGUGCGAUCAACCUAAACUGGUUUGCUAAUUAAUUUGUGGCACAGAUAUGUCUAGCUGAUUAACAAUUAAAGUGACAUUCGGGUGAUUUGCUGAUGUAUGUACAUUUAUGCAUGAGUUUUGAGCGGAACCGUUUAAGUCGGCUAACUGCCCGAAUUAUUUAAUUAUGCAUCGAUAAUUCAUGACCUACUCAAACUAUAUCCCGGUGCCUGGGUCACCACCCCCUCGACUUUCGGAGACGAAGUUACCGGAGCAAACUCGUAAAUAGUUACGCACGCCAGGGAAAACAAAUGUCAGGACGAUUAUUGCGGCCCAUCGUCGCCUGCCAGGGCCAUAACAAAACUCCUAUCGGAGACCUUCCAACGAUUUAUAGACAAUAAUAACUGCAAACACGAAGCGGUGGCUGGCUCCUCAA
rnacentral:sRNA from 1 species